GACGAACGCUGGCGGCGUGCCUAAUACAUGCAAGUCGAACGCAGUGGGGACGGGUGAGUAACACGUGGGUAACCUCCCAUCAGAGGUGAUAACACUUGGAAAAAGGUGCUAAACCGAUACUGAUGGCUGGUCCCGCGGUGGAUUAGCUAGUUGGUAAGGUAACGGCUCACCAAGUCCACGAUGCAUAGCCGACCUGAGAGGGUGAUCGGCCACACUGGGACUGAGACACGGCCCAGACUCCUACGGGAGGCAGCAGUAGGGAAUCUUGGACAAUGGACGCAAGCCUGACGGAGCCAUGCCGCGUGAGUGAAGAAGGUUUUCGGAUCGUAAAGCACUUUUAGUAGGGAAGCGUUACCUACAGAGAAAGCAACGGCUAACUACGUGCCAGCCGCCGCGGUAAUAC
rnacentral:rRNA from 1 species